GAUCCUGGCUCAGAAUCAACGCUGGCGGCGUGCCUAACACAUGCAAGUCGAACGAGAAAGUGGAGCAAUCCAUGAGUAAAGUGGCGCACGGGUGAGUAACACGUGACAACCUACCCUUGAGUGGGGGAUAACCUAGGGAAACCUGGGCUAAUACCGCAUAAUACCUACGGGUCAAAGGAGCAAUUCGCUCGAGGAGGGGGUCGCGGCCGAUUAGUUAGUUGGCGGGGUAAUGGCCCACCAAGACUGUGAUCGGUAUCCGGCCUGAGAGGGCGCACGGACACACUGGAACUGAAACACGGUCCAGACUCCUACGGGAGGCAGCAGUGGGGAAUUUUGCGCAAUGGGGGAAACCCUGACGCAGCAACGCCGCGUGGAGGAUGAAGUCCUUCGGGACGUAAACUCCUUUCGAUCGGGACGAUUAUGACGGUACCGGAAGAAGAAGCCCCGGCUAACUUCGUGCCAGCAGCCGCGGUAAUACGAGGGGGGCGAGCGUUGUUCGGAAUUAUUGGGCGUAAAGGGUGCGUAGGCGGUUUGGUAAGUCUGAUGUGAAAUCUAUGGGCUCAACUCAUAGUCUGCAUCGGAAACUGCCGGGCUUGAGUAUGGGAGAGGUGAGUGGAAUUCCUGGUGUGGCGGUGAAAUGCGUAGAUAUCAGGAGGAACACCUGUGGCGAAAGCGGCUCACUGGACCAUAACUGACGCUGAUGCACGAAAGCUAGGGGAGCAAACAGGAUUAGAUACCCUGGUAGUCCUAGCCCUAAACGAUGACUGCUUGGUGUGACGGGUACCCAAUCCCGCCGUGCCGUAGCUAACGCGUUAAGCAGUCCGCCUGGGGAGUACGGUCGCAAGGCUGAAACUCAAGGAAUUUGACGGGGGCCCGCACAAGCGGUGGAGCAUGGUGGUUU
rnacentral:rRNA from 1 species